rnacentral:lncRNA from 1 species
CACGACGCAUGCGCACUGGUCACGCCUCCUCAAGAAAACACACUGAGAGUAGGUGGAUUUUACGCCGAACAAUAGCUUUUAAAGUAAUCUCUAAUAUCGUUUUAGCUUUAUUGUGGUAAAGUGAACAAUGCCUGAGAAUGUCGUUUGGAAGACAAAGCUGGAUUCUCUCCUGGGACUAGCUUGUUAGGCUUGUUACCAAACCUUCCUUGUGUAACAACGCGUGUGUUACGGGUGUUGAGCUUGGCAAUUAUAAACUCCCCUGUCAGUGGAAGAGCUUAACUGGAGCUACAUUUUGCUACGUUUUCUUUAACAAGCGACAAAAAUGAGUCUAGCACGGCUAUGUCGUAGCUCAGGUUCGGCAAUAAGAGCGAUCCCGGGUUGUGCAAACAGGCUGCAGCUCAUCAGGACCAACCACACCAGUCCCAUUACUACACCGUCACGUGUUAAAGUUCUGUAUGAUGGGCUGUGUCCCAUAUGUGUCACUGAGAUACGGUGUCUGCAGUUUCUGCAGAGAAAACGUCCCGACAAAGUGGAUUUUGUUGAUAUCUCUCUCCCUGGAUAUGAUGGUGCAAAGUACAAUGACGUGAGCUACGAGAUGGCAAUGGAGGAAAUGCAUGUCAUAGAUGAGGAAAAUACGGUCCAUCGUGGAGUCCCUGCCUUCUCUGUCAUGUACUCUGCAGUGGGACUCGGGUGGUUGGGGCGCCUCCUCAUGUGGCCACCUAUGAGACCAUGGAUGAAUAAAUCCUAUGACAUUUUUGCCAGAAACCGUUUAAAAUGGACUGGACGUGGAAAUGAGUGUACCAAUGGACGCUGUGAAAAGAAGUCAAGCUGAACUGAAUGUUGUUGAACGUGUAUUUGGUACAACACCUGGACUGACAAGUGCUUUAUCAAUCAUUGUGACAAAUUUGCUCCUUGCGUGUUGUGAAAUUGUUAUAUAUAUUUGACUUUACGUAUAAAUCAGCUGCGGGUGUAAUGGAAAUUGGAAGUGCAAUAUAAAUAUUACCAGAACUACAAACGUGUGGAAUUUUUUCCAUUAUUAGAAAUACUUGACCUGACUAACUGGAAAAUCACUGAACAGUUUCAUAGUGUUAGUAACAAGAUAGAUGAAGGGAAUUCCAAAGUUGUGUUCAUGACAGUAGUUUCCCCUAUUGCCACUAGAUGUCCUUGUAAGACCAACAUGACUGCAUCAAAUGUCCUGACAGGUCAUUUUGUGUGCCCAUGUUUCCAUGUUUGUGUACUCAUACAUAUAGUUACACCAGUCCUGUUUGAAGCUGUUAGUGUGUUUACAUUUCUGUUGACACCUCUUCCUAAUUAUAGUCCAG